rnacentral:tRNA from 1 species
UAGAUUAAAGCUCGCUGGAUAGAGUGUUUAGCUGUUAACUAAAGUGUUACGGGAUCGAGGCCCGUUAUUCUAG